rfam:Triticum aestivum genome assembly, contig: Triticum_aestivum_CS42_TGACv1_scaffold_569717_7AS
GUACUACUUCCUCUGUUCGGAAUUACUUGUCGCAGAAAUGAAUGUAUUUAGAUAUAUUUUAGUUCUAGAUACAUCCAUAUCCGAGACAAGUAAUUCUGAAUGGAGGAAGUAGCUG